rnacentral:lncRNA from 1 species
UUUUCUCUUGCAUUAGGGGAUGACACUAGUCUAGCAUUUUCAACAUCUUUGAAGGAUUUUUUAGGACUUUGAUACUUCUUUAUUAGCCUUCUUCUCUUCAUACUUGUAAAAACAUAAAAGAAAUAAGAGAAAACUAUAUUACUUAAAUAAAAAAAUAACAAUCAUGUAUAAAUUCACACUUUAAGAAUUUGGUAAAAUUGAAAAUUGAGAUAUGAUCAUUUCCUCUUGUAUUAGGAGAUGACACUAUUUUAGCAUCUUCAACAUCUUUGAGG